GACGAACGCUGGCGGCGUGCCUAAUACAUGCAAGUCGACCUUAGUGGCGGACGGGUGAGUAAUGCCUAGGAAUCUGCCUGGUAGAGGGGGAUAACGACCGGAAACGGGCGCUAAUACCGCAUACUAUCAGAUGAGCCAAGGUCGGCUUGGCUUGUUGGUGGGAUAAAGGCCUACCAAGGCGACGAUUCGUAACUGGUCUGAGAGGAUGAUCAGUCACACGGGAACUGAGACACGGUCCAGACUCCUACGGGAGGCAGCAGUGGGGAAUAUUGGACAAUGGGCGAAAGCCUGAUCCAGCCAUGCCGCGUGUAUGAAGAAGGUCUUCGGAUUGUAAAGCACUUUAAGUUGGGAGGCGUUCCCCACAGAAUAAGCACCGGCUAACUUCGUGCCAGCAGCCGCUGUAAUAC
rnacentral:rRNA from 1 species